GGCAGACGGGAGAGUAACACGUGGGAACGUACCCUUCGGUUCGGAAUAACCCAGGAAACUUGGGCUAAUACCGGAUACGUCCGUAAGGAGAAAGAUUUAUCGCCGAAGGAUCGGCCCGCGUCCGAUUAGCUAGUUGGUGAGGUAAUGGCUCACCAAGGCGACGAUCGGUAGCUGGUCUGAGAGGAUGAUCACGCCUCACUGGGACUGAGACACGGCCCAGACUCCUACGGGAGGCAGCAGUGGGGAAUAUUGGACAACGGGCGCAAGCCUGAUCCAGCCAUGCCGCGUGGGUGAUGAAGGCCUUAGGGUUGUAAAGCCCUUUCGGCGGGGAAGGUAAUGACGGUACCCGCAGAAGAAGCCCCGGCUAACUUCGUGCCAGCCGCCGCGG
rnacentral:rRNA from 1 species